rnacentral:rRNA from 1 species
GCUAAUACCGCAUGAUGCCUACGGGCCAAAGAGGGGGACCUUCGGGCCUCUCGCGUCAGGAUAUGCCUAGGUGGGAUUAGCUAGUUGGUGAGGUAAGGGCUCACCAAGGCAACGAUCCCUAGCUGGUCUGAGAGGAUGAUCAGCCACACUGGAACUGAGACACGGUCCAGACUCCUACGGGAGGCAGCAGUGGGGAAUAUUGCACAAUGGGCGCAAGCCUGAUGCAGCCAUGCCGCGUGUGUGAAGAAGGCCUUCGGGUUGUAAAGCACUUUCAGUCG